AUGUCCGACAGAUUGCCCUGCAAAGUCCCUGGCAUCGGCCCGGCUGCCUGGGGCGCACGGCUGUGGGCACGGAGGGCGGGGCGAUGCGCGGCCUGCUGCGCAUGCGUGUGCGGGGCCUGCUGCGCAUGCGAGAGCGGGGCUCGGCCUCCAUGCCGCUGGAGGGCGCCCGCCUCGCUGGCUGCCUGCACCCGCCGCGGAGGCGGCGGUCCCCACGGAGACUCUCGUCACCCUGGGUGCUGCAACACCGUCUCCACCCAGGACCAUGCGGCGGCUGCCAUCGCCAAGGCUGGCAUUCCAGUGUAUGCCUGGAAGGGCGGAACGGACGAGGAGUACCUGUGGUGCAUUGAGCAGCGCCGUGCUUCGAGGACGGGCCCCUCAGCAGGCUUCGGGAUGGCGGGGGCGACCUCACGACCGCAUCCCCACCACGCGCCCGCAGCUCCUGCCGGGCAUCCGAGGCGUCUCCGAGGAGACCACGGCCGGGGUCCACGAGCGCCGCAAGAUGGCGGCCAGUGGGAUCCUGAAGGCCCUGCCAUCGACGUCAGCGACUCCGUCACCAAGAGCAGAUCUGACAGCCUCCGUGGCUGCCGGGAGUCCCUCGGAGACGGCAUCGAGCGGGCCCCAGACGUGAUGAUGGCCGGCAAGGCAGCCGUGGUAGCAGGCUAUGGCGGUGUGGGCGAGGGCUGGGCCCAGGCCUGUGGGGUUUCGGGCCCGCGUCGUCGUCACUGAGAUGGACCCCAUCGGCGCACUGUCGCGCUGCAGGCUGCCAUGGAGGGCUAUGAGGUGACCGCCCUGGAUGAGGACUGUCAGGAGGACAUCUUUCUUGGCUGGCACUUUGACCAGAUGAAGGAUGCUGCCAUCGUGUGUAACACUGGACACUUGGACAUGGACAUCAGUGUCAAGUGGCUCAACGAGAACGCUGUGGAGAAGGUGAACAUCAAGCCCUCAAGCCGCAGGUGCACUGGUACCGGCUGAAGAAUGGGCGGCACAUCAUCCUGCUGGCUGAGGGUCAGCUGGUCAUCCUGGGUUGUGCCAUGGGCCACCCCAGCUUCCUGAAGAGUAACUCCUUCACCAACCAGGUGAUGGCGAAGAUCGAGCUGUAGACCCACCCAGACAAGUACCCUGUUGGGGUUCACUUCCUGCCCAGGAAGCUGGAUGAGGCAGUGGCUGAAGCCCACCUGGGCAAGCUGAACGUGAAGUUGGCCAAGCUGACUGAGAAGCAGGCCCACUGCCUGGGCAUGUCCCGUGAUGGCCCCUUCAAGCUGGAUCACGACUGCUACUGAGAGCCAGGUCUGGGCUUCACCUUCCAACUGCUGUCCUUGCCCAGGUCCUGCCUUUCCUCCCUAAGAGCAAACGGCACCAACUUUGUGACUGGUUUGUCAGUGUCCCCAUCUACUCUUUAGGGCUGGUCACUCAGUGUUUGGCCUCUGCUGCAGCCCUCAUACUGUUCCAAGUGUGGCAGCAGGAACUGAGGGGCCCCUUCUCAAGUCCAGGUCACAAUGGAGGUACCAGCCACAGGGAACCAUGAACUCACUGGUCUUGGAACUGCUCACUAAGUCAGUCCUUCCUUAGCCUCGAAGUCAGUAGUGGAGUCACAAAGCCCAUGUAUUUUGUCAUCUAGGCCUUCACCUGGUCUGUGGACUUAGAUCUGUAUAUUUGGUUUACGGGUCUGGUGGUUCCUCAGCCCACGAGAGAUGAGGAGCUAUAUUGAAGGGCAAAGAGAAGCUGUUGUUUGAAUUUUCCUGAGAGCUUGGCUUAGUGCUGGCCUUCUCUUAAACCUCAUAACAACGAGGUUAGUACUUUUAGUCCUUGUUUUACAGGGGCUAGAAUAGACUGUUAAGGGGCAACUGAGAAAGAACAGAGAAGUGACAGUCAGAGGUUGAGAGGGGCCAGAAAAACAUAAAAGCAGGCAUCGAUCUGCUACCACUUUGUAACCAGAUGGUUCCCAUCACAACCUGGGUCAAAAAGAGAAUAAUUUGGCCUCUAAUGUUUAUAAUGUUAAAAUAAAGCAGGAAUGUGGGUACAUAAAGAUCCUGAUGCCU